CAGCCGCCGCGGUAAUACAGAGGGUGCAAGCGUUAAUCGGAAUUACUGGGCGUAAAGCGCGCGUAGGUGGUUCGCCAAGUUGGAUGUGAAAUCCCCGGGCUCAACCUGGGAACUGCAUCCAAAACUGGCGAGCUAGAGUAUGGUAGAGGGUGGUGGAAUUUCCUGUGUAGCGGUGAAAUGCGUAGAUAUAGGAAGGAACAUCAGUGGCGAAGGCGACCACCUGGACUGAUACUGACACUGAGGUGCGAAAGCGUGGGGAGCAAACAGGAUUAGAUACCCGUGUAGUCCCUGUCUCUUAUAU
rnacentral:rRNA from 1 species